GAAAGAGAGAGGGUGUGAGGGUUUUCUCUGCUGAGCUUUCAGAUAAUUUUAUUGCUGAAUAAUAAAGACUCUUUUUUUUGGUGAACUCAGCUGGUUGUGUGUAUUUAGUGUGGUAGCCGUUCUCGUCUCUACAGUCAGGUCAUCAUUUCAGAAACAACAAAUAAUUCAGCGUUUAACACAAUGGCUCAUAUGUUAUUCUCACGUCAUUCAAAUUCAUGGGAUGAUUUUCAAGAAGAUUUUUUGGC